rnacentral:rRNA from 1 species
AGUGAACGCUGGCGGUAGGCCUAACACAUGCGAGUCGAACGGCAGCACAGUAAGAGCUUGCUCUUACGGGUGGCGAGUGGCGGACGGGUGAGAAAUACAUCGGAAUCUACUUUUUCGUGGGGGAUAACGUAGGGAAACUUACGCUAAUACCGCAUACGACCUACGGGUGAAAGCAGGGGAUCUUCGGACCUUGCGCGAUUGAAUGAGCCGAUGUCGGAUUAGCUAGUUGGCGGGGUAAAGGCCCACCAAGGCGACGAUCCGUAGCUGGUCUGAGAGGAUGAUCAGCCACACUGGAACUGAGACACGGUCCAGACUCCUACGGGAGGCAGCAGUGGGGAAUAUUGGACAAUGGGCGCAAGCCUGAUCCAGCCAUACCGCGUGGGUGAAGAAGGCCUUCGGGUUGUAAAGCCCUUUUGUUGGGAAAGAAAAGCAGCAGGUUAAUACCCCGCUGUUCUGACGGUACCCAAAGAAUAAGCACCGGCUAACUUCGUG